AACGAACGCUGGCGGCGCGUUUUAAACAUGCAAGUCGCACGGUAAGAGAACUUCGGUUCUCCUAGAGUGGCGGACGGGUGAGUAACACGUGGAUAACCUACCCUUUGAUUGGGGAUAGCCUAUGGAAACAUGGGGUAAUACCGAAUACGACUGAAUUCUCAUAAGAGGAAUCAAGGAAAGGCGCUACGGCGCCGUCGAAGGAUGGGUCCGCGUUCCAUUAGCUAGUUGGUGAGGUAACUGCUCACCAAGGCUGUGAUGGAUAGCCGGCCUGAGAGGGCGAUCGGCCACAUUGGGACUGAGACACGGCCCAGACUCCUACGGGAGGCAGCAGUUAAGAAUCUUCCGCAAUGGACGAAAGUCUGACGGAGCGACGCCGCGUGAACGAUGAAGGCCGUGAGGUUGUAAAGUUCUUUUCCGAGGGAGGAAUAAAGAUGGUAGGGAAUGACCGUCUGAUGACGUUAACUCGGGAAUAAGCCCCGGCUAACUACGUGCCAGCAGCCGCGGUAACACGUAGGGGGCAAGCGUUGUUCGGAAUCAUUGGGCGUAAAGGGUGCGCAGGCGGCGUAGCAAGUCUGGUGUGAAAUACCUCGGCUCAACCGAGGGAACGCACUGGAAACUGUUAUGCUAGAGUACAGGAAGGGGAGUUGGAAUUCCAGGUGUAGGGGUGAAAUCUGUAGAUAUCUGGAAGAACACCGGUGGCGAAGCGAACUCCUGGCCAUGUACUGACGCUGAGGCACGAAGGCGUGGGGAGCAAACAGGUUUAGAUACCCUGGUAGUCCACGCAGUAAACGAUGUACACUAGGUGGUGGGUGGUAGCACUCAGUACCGAAGCUAACGCAUUAAGUGUACCGCCUGGGGAGUAUGCUCGCAAGGGUGAAACUCAAGGAAUUGACGGGGGCCCGCACAGCGGUGGAGCAUGGUGGUUUAAUUCGAUGAUACGCGAGGAACCU
rnacentral:rRNA from 1 species